rnacentral:tRNA from 1 species
GCCGCCCUAGCUCAGUUGGUAGAGCGCACCCAUGGUAAGGGUGAGGUCUCGGGUUCAAAUCCCGAGGGCGGCUCCA